rnacentral:rRNA from 1 species
GAAAGGGGGCAGCUACACAUGCAGUCGAGCGAACCUUCGGGUUAGCGGCGGACGGGUGAGUAACGCGUGGGAACGUACCCUCUUCUGCGGGAUAGCCACUGGAAACGGUGAGUAAUACCGCAUACGCCCUUCGGGGGAAAGAUUUAUCGGAGGAGGAUCGGCCCGCGUUGGAUUAGGUAGUUGGUGGGGUAAUGGCCUACCAAGCCUACGAUCCAUAGCUGGUUUUAGAGGAUGAUCAGCCACACUGGGACUGAGACACGGCCCAGACUCCUACGGGAGGCAGCAGUGGGGAAUCUUAGACAAUGGGCGCAAGCCUGAUCUAGCCAUGCCGCGUGAGUGACGAAGGCCUUAGGGUCGUAAAGCUCUUUCGCCAGAGAUGAUAAUGACAGUAUCUGGUAAAGAAACCCCGGCUAACUCCGUGCCAGCAGCCGCGGUAAUACGGAGGGGGUUAGCGUUGUUCGGAAUUACUGGGCGUAAAGCGCACGUAGGCGGAUUGGAAAGUUGGGGGUGAAAUCCCAGGGCUCAACCCUGGAACUGCCUCCAAAACUCCCAGUCUGGAGUUCGAGAGAGGUGAGUGGAAUUCCGAGUGUAGAGGUGAAAUUCGUAGAUAUUCGGAGGAACACCAGUGGCGAAGGCGGCUCACUGGCUCGAUACUGACGC